AUUGAACGCUGGCGGUAUGCUUAACACAUGCAAGUCGAACGGUAACAGGCCUUCGGGCGCUGACGAGUGGCGGACGGGGGAGUAACGCGUAGGAAUCUGCCUCAUAGUGGGGGACAACGUGGGGAAACGCACGCUAAUACCGCAUACGCCCUGCGGGGGAAAGCGGGGGACCUUCGGGCCUCGCGCUAUGAGAUGAGCCUGCGUUAGAGUAGCUAGUUGGUAGGGUAAAGGCCGACCAAGGCGACGAUCUAUAGCUGGUCUGAGAGGGCGAUCAGCCACACUGGGACUGAGAAACGGCCCAGACUCCUACGGGAGGCAGCAGUGGGGAAUAUUGGACAAUGGGCGAAAGCCUGAUCCAGCAAUACCGCGUGUGUGAAGAAGGCCCUAGGGUUGUAAAGCACUUUCAAUAGGGAGGAAAACCUGUCGGUCAAUACCCGGCAGCUUGACAUUACCUAUACAAGAAGCACCGGCUAACUCCGUGCCAGCCGCCGCCGUAAAAC
rnacentral:rRNA from 1 species